rnacentral:rRNA from 1 species
GGUUAAGUGACUAAGCGUACACGGUGGAUGCCUAGGCAGUCAGAGGCGAUGAAGGACGUGCUAAUCUGCGAAAAGCGCCGGUGAGCUGAUAUGAAGCGUUAUCAGCCGGCGAUGUCCGAAUGGGGAAACCCGGUGCAACUCGUUGCAUCAUCGUUAAGUGAAUCCAUAGCUUAACGAAGCGAACCAGGGGAACUGAAACAUCUCAGUACCCUGAGGAAAAGAAAUCAACCGAGAUUCCCCCAGUAGCGGCGAGCGAACGGGGAACAGCCCAGAGCCAUCAUCAGCUUGCGCAUCAGGAGAACGGUCUGGAAAGUCCGGCGACAGAGGGUGAUAGCCCCGUAUCCGAAGGUGCGCUUGUUGUGAGCUCGAUGAGUAGGGCGGGACACGUGAUAUCCUGUCUGAAGAUGGGGGGACCAUCCUCCAAGGCUAAAUACUCCUGACUGACCGAUAGUGAACCAGUACCGUGAGGGAAAGGCGAAAAGAACCCCGGCGAGGGGAGUGAAAUAGAACCUGAAACCGUGUACGUACAAGCAGUGGGAGCAUCCUUCGGGGUGUGACUGCGUACCUUUUGUAUAAUGGGUCAGCGACUUAUAUUCUGUAGCAAGGUUAACCGCAUAGGGGAGCCGCAGGGAAACCGAGUCUUAACUGGGCGUCUAGUUGCAGGGUAUAGACCCGAAACCCGGUGAUCUAGCCAUGGGCAGGUUGAAGGUUGGGUAACACUAACUGGAGGACCGAACCGACUAAUGUUGAAAAAUUAGCGGAUGACUUGUGGCUGGGGGUGAAAGGCCAAUCAAACCGGGAGAUAGCUGGUUCUCCCCGAAAGCUAUUUAGGUAGCGCCUCGUGACGUCAUCUACGGGGGUAGAGCACUGUUUCGGCUAGGGGUCCAUCCCGGAUUACCAACCCGAUGCAAACUGCGAAUACCGUAGAAUGUAAUCACGGGAGACACACGGCGGGUGCUAACGUCCGUCGUGAAGAGGGAAACAACCCAGACCGCCAGCUAAGGUCCCAAAGUCAUGGUUAAGUGGGAAACGAUGUGGGAAGGCCCAGACAGCCAGGAUGUUGGCUUAGAAGCAGCCAUCAUUUAAAGAAAGCGUAAUAGCUCACUGGUCGAGUCGGCCUGCGCGGAAGAUGUAACGGGGCUAAACCAUGCACCGAAGCUGCGGCAGCGGACGUAUCACUUAAAACGCUUAACGCGACGGCGAGCCGGCGCGUGCAAGCGACACUCCCGUUGAGUCGGCAACAGCCGGCCAAGGGCAAGGCGUUUUAAGGAUACGUCCGUUGGGUAGGGGAGCGUUCUGUAAGCCUGCGAAGGUGGCCUGUGAGGGCUGCUGGAGGUAUCAGAAGUGCGAAUGCUGACAUAAGUAACGAUAAAGCGGGUGAAAAGCCCGCUCGCCGGAAGACCAAGGGUUCCUGUUCAACGUUAAUCGGAGCAGGGUGAGUCGACCCCUAAGGCGAGGCCGAAAGGCGUAGUCGAUGGGAAACAGGUUAAUAUUCCUGUACUGGGUGUGACUGCGAAGGGGGGACGGAGAAAGCUAGGUUCGCCGGGCGACGGUUGUCCCGGUUCAAGCGUGAAGGUGGAAUGAGCAGGCAAAUCCGCUCAUUCUCAACACUGAGGCGUGAUGACGAGCCACUACGGUGGUGAAGGAAUUGAUGCUACGCUUCCAGGAAAAGCCUCUAAGCUCCAGGUCACAUCGAAUCGUACCCCAAACCGACACAGGUGGUCAGGUAGAGAAUACCCAGGCGCUUGAGAGAACUCGGGUGAAGGAACUAGGCAAAAUGGUGCCGUAACUUCGGGAGAAGGCACGCUGGCAUGUAGGUGGAGGGCCUUGCGCCCCGAGCUGAAGCCAGUCGCAGAUACCAGCUGGCUGCAACUGUUUAUUAAAAACACAGCACUGUGCAAACACGAAAGUGGACGUAUACGGUGUGACGCCUGCCCGGUGCCGGAAGGUUAAUUGAUGGGGUUAUCGCUUGCGAGAAGCUCUUGAUCGAAGCCCCGGUAAACGGCGGCCGUAACUAUAACGGUCCUAAGGUAGCGAAAUUCCUUGUCGGGUAAGUUCCGACCUGCACGAAUGGCGUAAUGAUGGCCAGGCUGUCUCCACCCGAGACUCAGUGAAAUUGAACUCGCCGUGAAGAUGCGGUGUACCCGCGGCAAGACGGAAAGACCCCGUGAACCUUUACUAUAGCUUGACACUGAACAUUGAGCCUUGAUGUGUAGGAUAGGUGGGAGGCUUUGAAGUGUGGACGCCAGUCUGCAUGGAGCCAACCUUGAAAUACCACCCUUUAAUGUUUGAUGUUCUCACUCAGGCCCGUUAUCCGGGCCGAGGACAGUGUCUGGUGGGUAGUUUGACUGGGGCGGUCUCCUCCCAAAGUGUAACGGAGGAGCACGAAGGUUAGCUAAUCACGGUCGGACAUCGUGAGGUUAGUGCAAAGGCAUAAGCUAGCUUGACUGCGAGAGUGACGGCUCGAGCAGGUGCGAAAGCAGGUCUUAGUGAUCCGGUGGUUCUGAAUGGAAGGGCCAUCGCUCAACGGAUAAAAGGUACUCCGGGGAUAACAGGCUGAUACCGCCCAAGAGUUCAUAUCGACGGCGGUGUUUGGCACCUCGAUGUCGGCUCAUCACAUCCUGGGGCUGAAGUAGGUCCCAAGGGUAUGGCUGUUCGCCAUUUAAAGUGGUACGCGAGCUGGGUUUAGAACGUCGUGAGACAGUUCGGUCCCUAUCUGCCGUGGGCGCUGGAAGAUUGAGAGGGGCUGCUCCUAGUACGAGAGGACCGGAGUGGACGCACCACUGGUGUUCGGGUUGUCAUGCCAAUGGCAUUGCCCGGUAGCUACGUGCGGAAGAGAUAACCGCUGAAAGCAUCUAAGCGGGAAACUUGCCUCGAGAUGAGUCUUCCCUGAGGCCUAGAGCCUCCUGAAGGGACGUUAAAGACGAUGACGUUGAUAGGUCGGGUGUGUAAGCGCUGCGAGGCGUUGAGCUAACCGAUACUAAUGACCCGUGAGACUUAACCUUACAACACC